rnacentral:rRNA from 1 species
UAACACGUAGGGGCCAAGCGUUGUCCGGAUUUAUUGGGCGUAAAGAGCUCGUAGGCGGUUCGACAAGUCGGGUGUGAAAACUCCGGGCUCAACCCGGAGACGCCACCCGAUACUGUCGUGACUGGAGUCCGGUAGGGGAGUGGGGAAUUCCUGGUGUAGCGGUGAAAUGCGCAGAUAUCAGGAGGAACACCGGUGGCGAAGGCGCCACUCUGGGCCGGUACUGACGCUGAGGAGCGAAAGCGUGGGUAGCAAACAGGAUUAGAUACCCUGGUAGUCCACGCCGUAAACGUUGGGCACUAGGUGUGGGUCGUUAUCAACGCGAUCCGUGCCGUAGCUAACGCAUUAAGUGCCCCGCCUGGGGAGUACGGCCGCAAGGCUA